CACGCUCCACACAAGGCAUUAAUUGUCUUGAGAAUGUGACCGUCUCGGGGAUUGACGUAACACCAGUAGUUGGAAUUGGUUGGGAUAUACCGAUUGCUGACUACAUAAUUGGUGU
rnacentral:sRNA from 1 species